rnacentral:rRNA from 1 species
UACGGAGGGUGCAAGCGUUAUCCGGAUUCACUGGGUUUAAAGGGUGCGUAGGCGGACAGGUAAGUCAGUGGUGAAAUCUCUGGGCUUAACCCAGAAACUGCCGUUGAUACUAUCUGUCUUGAAUAUCAUGGAGGUAAGCGGAAUAUGUCAUGUAGCGGUGAAAUGCUUAGAUAUGACAUAGAACACCAAUUGCGAAGGCAGCUGGCUACACGAAUAUUGACACUGAUGCACGAAAGCGUGGGGGGAUCAAACAGG